rnacentral:rRNA from 1 species
CUACGGGCUGCUCCAGUGGGGAAUAUUGGACAAUGGACCAAAAGUCUGAUCCAGCAAUUCUGUGUGUUUGAUGAAGGCCUUCGGGUUGUAAAGAACUUUAAGUAGGGAAGAAGAAAGUGACGGUACCUACAGAAUAAGCGACGGCUAAAUACGUGCCAGCAGCCGCGGUAAUACGUAUGUCGCAAGCGUUAUCCGGAAUUAUUGGGCAUAAAGCGCGUCUAGGCGGUUUACUAAGUCUGAUGUGAAAAUGCGGGGCUCAACUCCGUAUUGCGUUGGAAACUGGUAGACUAGAGUAUUGGAGAGGUAGGCGGAACUACAAGUGUAGAGGUGAAAUUCGUAGAUAUUUGUAGGAAUGCCAAUGACGAAGGUAGCUUACUGGACAAAUACUGACGCUGAAGCGCGAAAGCUAGGGGAGCAAACAGGAUUAGAUACCCGAGUAGUC